CCCGCUUGCGGCGGCUUCUGCGAGGGCCAGAGCGCCCGCUGGCUGUGGCCGGGCCCAGAACACGCCUGAUCGCUUUUGGGUUCAAAGUCAGAAUCGGGUUUCCUGCAACCUCACUGGGCAUUUUCAGAAUGAUCUGUACAAGCGUUGACUGAAUGAUUGAUUCCAAGUUCCCCCUUCCUAGGAUUUCAGACCUCCUCUUGACAAGUGAUGAAUGGGCCAUCUUAAUCUUGUUUGGAUCAGAAAGGACCAUACAAUUGAGCUUUAGACAAGACUAAAAAUAUCAAAAGUAGCACUCUGCAAUUUUAUGUGCAUGUGGCUUGAAGCUCUGACAACAACACAAAAGAACCUCCUUUAGACGUCCUUCACUUCCAGGAUCCAGUCCAAACUCCUGGGCUUGGCACAUGAACCCUCCAUCAUCUGGCACCUGGCAGCCCACAUGCUGGAGCCUCACGGAUUUGCUCAUCGCCCUCUGAACACCUGUGGCCUUCUCACUCCUCUGUGUCUUUGCACAUCCUUUCCCCAACCUCAUGCCAGGCCAUUGCAUUGUGAUCCAGGCUCAGUCUUCGUUCUGCUUCGUGGCAUCACAGUCCCUUAUUUGAAACUGAACCAGGACUGCAGUCUUCGACUUUGACAUCAAAUUUGACACCUCAGUGGCCCAAGCUUUCAGAAACUUGGAAUUGCAGACAUUAUGGAUUUGGACCUGCCCUCAGAAGAGCUACCUACUGAAAUAUUUACAAGUGAAAUGAUGUGAGAUGUGGGAUUUGAUUCAAAAUGAUCCUUUAUGUAUGAAGAGUGGGGCGUGGAGAAUGCAUGAAGAUACAGAUAAAAUAAACGUGUCUAUGGGUUAAUACAUGCUGUAGCUGGGUACAUGGUGGUUUAUUAUGCUAUUCUUUCUAGUUUUGUGUGCAUCUGAAAUUUUCCAUAAUAAAUACUUUUUAGAAAACUCAUGAACCGUUCUGAUUCCUGGAGAUGCCUUGGUGCGCAUGACCAUAUAAUCCUUCUUUGAAGGUGAGGGCUGGAGAAGAAGUCCUGUUGAGGGAGAUGGGGAGAGGAGCGGAGGGAGGAGGAGCACUGAAGCACCGAGUUAGCUGCGUCACUGCUUAGCUCCAGAUGGGCCACCAUUUCUGAUCUCCUACAACAUGCCAGCCACAGCCCUGAGCACUCUCCACUCCAUCAUCUCAAUUCAUCCUGUGGGGAAGGUAUUAUCAUCUUCACAGAGGAGAAAGCUGAGGGUCAGGGAGGUCCCAUUGCUUGUCCCAAAUCACAGAGCUCAAAAGCGUCCAAGUUCUGCUGGUGGGGGAAGGGCAGUGAAGCAGUGGGACAACAACAACCACCAAAAAGUGCAACAGGAAAAUGAAGGAGAAUGCCAGGAAAAUAAAGACACGGGUUCCAUGAACAGUGAAACCAACCCGGCAAGCAGUAGAGGCUGUCCCAGCAGACAAUUGAGCAAGAGACCUGAAGAAGUGAGAGUGGAUUGAAGCAGGAGAAUGAAACAUCCCGAAAGACAGGUCACUGGAACUCUUGAAGCAACACCAGAUUGUAUACAGCAGUUAGCAAACUUUGAUGUUGUAGGGUUUUUUGUUUGUUUGUUUGUUUUGUUUUGUUUUUGUUUUUGUUUGAGACGCAGUCUCUCUCUGUUGUCCAGGCUGGAGUGCAGUGGUUCGAUCUCAGCUCACUGCAACCUCUGCCUCCCGGAUUCAAGCAAUCCUACUGCCUCAGCCUCUCAAGAAGCUGGGAUUACAGGCACCCACCACCACACCAGGCUAAUUUUUAUAUUUCUGUAGAGAUGGGUUUUAGCCAUGUUGGCCAGGCUGAUCUCGGACUCCUGACCUCAAGUGAUCUCCCUGCCUCAGCCUCCCAAAUGGCUGGGAUUACAGGGGUGAGCCACCGUGCUCAGCCUGGGGAAACUGUUUGAACACAUGAAUCAAUGAAUCAGUAAAGGCUAAUUUUAGUAGUAUAUUAAACAUUCUUAAAACUCAAUGAAAUAUAGACCAAUAAUUCAAUAGAAAAUUGGGCAAAGAACAUGGACAAACAAAAGAAAAGGACAAUGUCUUAAAAAUAUAUGAAAAGAUGCUUAUUCUUACACAUAAGAGAAAUGCUAAUUAAACUACAGUGAGACACUAUGAGAUGUGGGAGAGCUAAAAUGCUGAAUAAUAUCCCUGUUGGCAAUGGUGUGGGGCCAAAGGCACCCCUAUAAACUGUUGUAGGGAGUGUAAAUUAGGACAACCUCCAUGGAAGAUCAUCUGCUGUAAUUGAAAAUGCAUACAAGACUGGACAUGGUGGCUCAUGCCUGUAAUCCCAACAUUUUGGGAGGCCAAGGUGGGAGGAUCACUUGGGUUCAGGAGUUUCAGACCAGCCUGGUCAACAUAAGAAGACUUUAUUUAAAAACACAAAACUAAACUAAAAAACACUUAUUAUACCUUGACUAUGGAGGAGGUCUAGAGAAAAAAAAAUGCAUACACACUUUCAUGUAAAAGUUCCACUCAUAGGAAUUUACCCCACGUGACUCAAACAUGUAUUAUCUAUCAUCUAUGUAUCUAAUUACUAUAUAAUGUAAUGCUGCUUAUUAAUUUUUAAAAGUUUUUUUUUUUUUUUUUUUGAGACAAGGUCUCACUCUGUCACCCAGGCUGGAGUGCAGUGGCUCAAUCACAGUUCACUGCAGCCUUGAACGCCUGGGUACAAGUGAUCCUCCGAAAGUGCUGGAAUUACAGGCAUGAGCCAUUGUGCCCAGCCUGUGAAUAAUGUUGCUAUAAACAUUUUUUAAGCCUAAAAGUAUCUCUAAGCUUUAGUUAUUGAUUGAGAUUAAUUCACAUGUGAUAAAAUUCACCCCUUUAAAGUAUAAAAUCCAGUGGGUUUUAGCGGAUCUACAGAGGGGGUAACCAUCACUGUUAGCUAAUUUCAGGACAUUUUCAUAACCCCAAAAAGAAACC
rnacentral:lncRNA from 10 species